GUGAUAGAGCAGCAAACAUGGCGUAGAGCGGAGGGUCUGCAGAGACGGGGCCGAGGGGAGCUUCUCCUCUCCGGGCUGAAAGGAGGGAGGAAAGGGGGCCCGACCGACGGUGUUCUACGGUGGAAUCUUCUCUGAGUAUCCCCUCACUUGGCACGGCUUCUGUCCUUGCAGUUAACCCGGUAAGACGCCCGGUUCUGCGGACCUGAGUGUGUGAGCGUAGAAGAAGAAAGGCUUUGUUUACCUGCUGCAGCUGAAACACCUGCAUCACCACACCAAGGAUGGUUUCUCCGGUGAAAGCCGCUGAAGCGCAGGACUGGAGGAACAUCUCAUCUCAAAUCUGCUCCAUCAGCCGGACCCGGACCCGCAGACCUGGGGAGGGAUUUUUGGACGUCUCCUUCCUGCUGUCGCUGGGACACUGGCCUUCUCUCCUCCACCCCUCAAGCCUCAGUAUCAGCCCGGUUCUGCAGCCUGAUGACCGGGACGUCUGCUGAGACAGUGGGAUCCCAUCAUGCACUCUGUCUGCGUCUACAUGCAGCCAAAUCCUGGCUUUGCAGUCCCUAAAUAUGCUCCAUCAUUUGGGUGUUUCUUGUCAGAUUUGGCUGCAUGUAAACACUCCCUGAAUACGUAUUUUCUCCCUCCUGGGAUCAAAGUGAAGACACAAGAUACUGUAGCAUAGAUCAAGGCCUGUGAUUUACUCAGACUCAUAGGGUGUUUUAUUUCAUUUAGUACACUACCUCAUCGCCACAACUAGUCCAGUGAGAUCAGUACGAGCCUCCGGAUGGCUGUCAGCACCACAGCAGUUAUACUGUGUUCCCGGGUUCAUUUACUUUAAGGGACGUUGUUGACAGACGUUAUUUACUUUAACUUCUUCAAAUAUUUUAAGGAGAACUCUCAAACUGUGGUCUCCAUAUGCAUCUGUCUUUAGUGUAAAGUCUGCAGGUGAAUUAAGAAGAUUUAAGAGAUGGAAUUGGCAGUAUUCCCCUCAAACGCAGUCAGAUUUUCUUCCCUUAUUAAUCCCAUUUCUGGUCCUUCAGGCUUCCUUACAUUUUUUAAAUUGCAAAUAAGUUCAUAAAUCAAAAAAACUGGUAUUAAAAUGUAUUAAAUGAAUCCAUUUAAAUAGAAAAAGAGCUCAAACAUGGGAAGUAUAGUUUGAUCAAUUGUUCUUUUCUCAUUAUCUCCAAAUAAUAAGAAACAUCCAUUUAAAAAAAGCCAAACAAAUGCCUCUGAAGGUCACGCAGAUGAAGGGAAAUGCAUGUAUGGUUAUUCUAAAAAGGUGAUGAGGAAAAGAGGAGCAUUAAGAAUGAAUUAUAUUUUAUAUAUUCAUUUAUAAUAUUUGGUCUUAUCCUGGAUAUGUCACCGUUUUUGCUCUCGUUUAGGACUUAGGAGCUGCAGGAAAGACAGAUUUAAUCCUUUGCUUUGACACUAAAUAACCCAAACAUAUCAAACUGUAAGUCCAGUAAGCAGAGAGGAGCCUCUUCUGAAGGAAACCCUGGUCCCAUUUUCCCCGUUUAGUUUUAUUUGUAUAUGAAAAAGGCAAAAAAAAAUACUACCGGGAUUUGUGCAAUAUUUGAUCCUGACUGUCAUGUUGUUGACCAAACUGUAUAUUGUAAACAAAACAAGUGACGAGUUGUUUGAAAGCAACAAAAUCACCAAUGUCUUCCAUUAAGAUUUGUAUAGAGUCAUGAGCAUCAGCUUCUCCAGCGGUGCGGACCUUAUCGUAGCCGUGCAUGACCCGUAGUGACGCUCGCUUCCUGGGGAAUCAACAUCCAGACUGACGAGGAGAUCAAAACCACGUCAGUAAAAUAAAGAAAAAACACCUUUUUAAAAUCGGCCACGUCUAGAUCCUGCUGAACCAUUAGACGAAUGCAAAGUCUCCUCGGGUGUAGACUUAAAAAAAGUGUGAUUUUAGGUGGAAAUGCUCCUUAUAACGAGUGCUUUCUAUCAGACCUGCUGUAGCAGAAAUGAUAUCCAUGCAUGCUUGAGGGUUAAAAUAAUAAGGCAUUUGUGACGCAGAAAAUCUCCUUAAAUCGAAUCUCUGACGUGGUGGAGAAAUGCUAGAUUUGGAUAUAAUCUUUAGGGUUUUAGUGCUAGACUUUAAUCAUCAUGUUAUUGUACAUAAUACCUCAUAGUUUCGGGAUUCAGAGCGAGAUAUUUUAAUCCAUAAAAUUGUAUUUGAUUAUAGGUUUUAGAAGCAAUAACCUACAAUAAUGCAUGAGUUUAGUGCCAGGGUGUACGUGUUAAAGGAGGGUGUAAUGCCCCCCCUCCUGUGUAGCAUUAUAUUUCCUUUUUAUUAUAAUUAUUAAAGGCGAGUUGCAUAAUAUCCGGCUUUAGAAUACAGUAUCACUAAUGAAGGCUUGGGAUGCUUCCUGCAGAACACGUGAGGACACAUGUAGCAUCACAUAUCACAGACUUCUAUUUUUCCCUGUUUUUUCUUAACACCAGAGUACAUGAGAGAUGCUUUAAAGAGGCCCUAUCAUGCUCUGAUGUUCAGAAAGAUCUUUAUUUCUCUCAUACUGUCGCUCUCUUUUCACCCUCUGUCUGAAACCAGAGUCCACUCUGCUCUGAUUGGUUAGCUGGUCGGCUCCGUUGUGACACUUAGAGCCUAUCACGCGCUCCUAUUGGUGUAAGAGCACCGUGUUUCGUGGUGAUGUAAACACAGGAGUCCGAUGGAGGCGUUUCAGGCACAAAAACCACACAGCAGGAGAGGGGAACCCCAAAGUGCUUAAUGGGGCCUCUUUAAUUAUACAUCUAGUAGCAUUUUCUAAAUCCAACCCCUUGAUUUCAGUACCUGUGGUUGCAGAGGUUUCACUGACUGAACUUGAAAAGCACUUUCUCUCGAUGUACUGACUUGCACUGUCGUCAUCCUGUCUCUGAAUACUGUGUUCUAAACAUACCGCUCUACACGGGGAUUUAUAAUCACACUUUAUAUCAACAAGUAGGCGUCUAAGCAAGCUUGAGUAUACGGGGGGUUUAAAAAAUAUGCAUGACUUAGAAUAACGAAUGAUUUGUAUUGCAUGCAAUAAUCCGACUCUGUAAUGUGGAUGAGUGUAACUAGGCGUUUGAGAUGUUCUGUGACAAAGAGACAACCUGGGGACGGUUUGUUUGACACAACAGCAUGUGGAAGAAGCUUUUUACUGACUGAACUGCACCAAAAAACUGAAGAUAUACCUUAUAACACUCCCUGUUGUGUCAAACAGGACCACCGUGCAGCUGGAGUCACUGCUCAGCCUUCUGUUCCCACGAAAAGAAUAAACUAAAGUUUGAUUCUCGAUGACAUUACUGUAGAAACUAUGCACUCCAGAGGGAGGAGAUGGGCAUGCUUGUUACGUGUGAGCCUUUUGUCUGGUUUUGUAUUAACACAAAAAAAGAAAUCUGUAUCAGAAAUUCAGCAAUAAAAUGCAGCAUGGUGCCAACA